CCGGGAAUAGCUCAGUUGGAAGAGCGGAGGACUGUAAAAUUGAUCAGAUAUCCUUAGGUCGUGAGUUCAAGUCUCACUUCCCGGA